UACGGAGGGGGCGAGCGUUAUUCGGAAUUAUUGGGCGUAAAGGGCGCGUAGGCGGCCCGGUAAGUCAAAGGUGAAAUCCCUCGGCUCAACUGAGGAACUGCCUUUGAAACUGUCGGGCUUGAGGCCGGGAGGGGGUAGCGGAAUUCCCAGUGUAGCGGUGAAAUGCGUAGAUACUGGGAGGAGCACCAGUGGCGAAGGCGGCUACCUGGACCGGUUCUGACGCUGAGGCGCGAAAGCGUGGGUAGCAAACAGG
rnacentral:rRNA from 1 species